AGGGCUUUAGCUUAAUUAAAGUGUCUGGGUUGCAUUCAGAAUAUGUGAGAUUAUCUUGCAAGCUCUA
rnacentral:tRNA from 1 species